rnacentral:sRNA from 1 species
UAGAUGAGUUGCAUUAAGGUAAAGGGU